rnacentral:rRNA from 1 species
GACAGAGGCCUCAAGCGUUAGGCGGAAUCACUGGGCUUAAAGCGUGUGUAGGCGGGUCGUUAAGUACCUUGUGAAAUCCCACGGCUCACCCGUGGAACUGCUGGGUAUACUGGCGAUCUUGGGCCAUUCAGGGGCAACUGGAACAAGCGGUGGAGCGGUGAAAUUCGUAGAUAUUCGCAAGAACACCAGUGGCGAAGGCGGCUCACUGGCCCGAUACUGACGCUGAGGCACGAAAGCGUGGGGAGCAAACAGG